UACGUAGGGGGCUAGCGUUGUCCGGAAUCAUUGGGCGUAAAGCGCGUGUAGGCGGUCCGGUAAGUCCGCUGUGAAAGUCGGGGGCUCAACCCUCGAAUGCCGGUGGAUACUGUCGGGCUAGAGUGCGGAAGAGGCGAGUGGAAUUCCUGGUGUAGCGGUGAAAUGCGCAGAUAUCUGGAGGAACACCGGUGGCGAAGGCGGCGUCCUGGACCAACACUGACACUGAAAAGCGAAAGCCAGGGGAGCAAACGGG
rnacentral:rRNA from 1 species